GAGGACGUGAAACCGGUGAGGUGGAAACGGAUAGAGUUGGCGUAUCUGACGUGCAUUCAAACACCGACUCGUUGAAGCUGUGGCGUCUCGUUUGCAGAUUGCGACAGGUGUUUCGCUGUCGACAGUUCGGUGCUGCAUUUGCGCGUGGUGUGCGUAGAGGAGUCCGGGGUGGGGGUGUGAUCUCAGAUUUGAGGCCGGCUUGCUGGUACCCAAUCUGGGGGAAUGCUUUUUGCCUCGGGCGAUUUUGUGUAUGGGUCUCCUCGGGCUCGGGUUGGCGCCGAUCUGGUGGCGAGUGGCGGUCGCAUGCGACGCGCGCUCUCAACUAGUUCGGUCCUAGUCGAGCUCGCAUGCACAUUCUCUGCGUAGAAGCUGGUCAUCUAUCCGACCCGUCUUGAAACACGGACCAAGGAGUUUAUCGUGUGCGCGAGCCAUUGAGCGUUCAAAACUCAAAAGGCGAAAUGAAAGUGAAUGUUCUCGCAAGAGACUAAUGUGCGACCCUGUGUCCUCCGGGACUGGGUGCAGCAUGGCCCCAUCCUGACUGCUUGCAGUGGGGUGGCGGAAGAGCGUGCGCGGUGAGACCCGAAAGAUGGUGAACUAUUCCUGAGCAGGAUGAAGCCAGAGGAAACUCUGGUGGAAGUCCGAAGCGGUUCUGACGUGCAAAUCGAUCGUCUGACUUGG
rnacentral:rRNA from 1 species